UAAACCAUAUAAGCGGAGAACUUACCCUCGUCCUUACAGUACUUCGAUUAAAUGCUGAAUUGACUCUUGACCAGAUCUGCUGCGUCGAUGUCGUUCUUUUGCCUAAAUGGCAGUAUGAUUAAACGCAGAAUUAAUGAAACGAAAUAACCGAAAAAGUAUUUCGAGACCAAAAAACGUUAAGAAAACGUAUACCUGUCAAAUUAUUGGAAAUAAUGACCCGGGAGAAGUUCUCUAUUGGUUUUGGCUCCAACAAUUUUCUUG